GAGGGGUCACUGAAGCAGAAUCAAUUGAAAGCAUUUUCUUCUUUUUCUUUCUUCUAUGGCUUUCUCAGCAACCUUUUCGAAGAGCUCAUUUUCAUACAUUUCUACACUUCUACACUCGCCAGCAAGAAGAAUCCCAUUUCGAAUACGAGUAGUUAAAGCUGAAAAAUCGGCCGAACCCGCAAGUGAUCAGAAGCUUACAGAGACAAAAACUCAAGAAGUUUCUACCAAUUCUCAACCUGCAUCAUCCACGAGUCCUCCUCCUAAGCCCAAAAAGCCUGUAUAUUCAAUGAAAAAGGGGCAGAUUGUGAGAGUGGAUAAGGAGAAGUACCUUAAUAGUAUCAAUAUUCAGCAAUGCAAUGCUGAACUACAGAAAACCUCAUUUGGCUAUGGAAAAGCUGACAUGAAUGUAAGUACUUAUCUGUUGGACAUCCACCUUAUUAUAAAGGUUUGGACUACAUAUAUGAAGAUAGGGGGGAGGUGCUGGACAUUCGGAUAUUUGAGACAGGAGAGUAUGCGCUGAUUGGAUGGGUUGGAAUACCAACUGCACCAGCUUGGCUUCCAACAGACAUGCUUAUCAAGUCUGAUAAGCUAGAUUAUGAAAGAAUGUAAGGAUUCAGAGGCACAGCCAGAGAAAUGGUGAUCUUAAUAUUUCAAAACUAGGAGAGGAUACCAUGUUUUGAAGUACAUGCGAAUUUUACAGGCUCUUGCUUUCUUACUAUCCAUUGUAGCUUAACAUAAUAUUGCAGUGACCGUAAACCAAAUUAUCUGCCUUGAGACUGUGGCUUUGAUUUUUGGUCAUUGAAUGGCUUUAUCAGGAGAAGAAAAUGCUUCCAAUUGAAAACAUUUUCAUGGAGGGUAUAAACUACAUUUAGAAUUUGCCGUAUUUCAUUUACUUUUGAAACGAAAGAUUACAGUUAUCAGGACAAAAAAAGUCCUUCAAGCUGAAAGAACUCUUAUAGAGGGUAUAAACUAGGAUAUGUUGUACCUCAUUUGCUUUUGAAACCAUAGAAUUAUAGUGGUAUUGCAGCAGCA